rnacentral:rRNA from 1 species
CAAAAACAUCUCUUUUUGACACAUAAAAAGUACCGUCUGCUCAAUGCAAUUUGUAAAUAGCCGCAGUAUUCUGACUGUGCUAAGGUAGCAUAAUCAUUAGUCUUUUAAUUGAAGGCUGGUAUGAAUGACGAGACGAGAAAAUAGCUGUCUCUAAAAUAAAUCUUGAAUUUUAUUUCUAAGUGAAAAAGCUUAGAUAAUUUUAAAGGACGAUCAGACCCUUUGGAGCUUUAUUUAUUUUAAAUUUUAAUUUAUUUUAGAUUAUUGAAUGAAUAAUAAAUUUUGUUGGGGCGACAGAGAGUAAUAAAUACCACUCUUUUUUUUAAACAAUUAUAAUUGAAAAAUUGAUCCUUAAAGUAAGAUUAAAAGACUAAGUUACCCUAGGGAUAACAGCGUAAUCUUCUUGGAGAGUUCAAAUCGAUAAGAAGGUUUGCGACCUCGAUGUUGGAUUAAGAGAUUGACACAGGAGCAGAAGUUUUGUUGGAAAGUCUGUUCGACUUUUAAUUUCUUACAUGAUCUGA